CGCUCGUAGUCGGAUUUUGGGCGCGUGUGAACUGUCAGCCUCUGGUUGGACGGUGCGCGCGUGCCUUUCUGCUUGGGAGCCCCAUGGUGGUUAAUUCUGUCGUGGUGGGUCACAGGCCGUUUACUUUGAAAAAAUUAGAGUGUUCAAAGCAGGCUGUUGCUUGAAUAGAUUAGCAUGGAAUAAUGGAAUAGGACCUUGGUGCUAUUUCGUUGGUUAUGGGACUGGGGUAAUGAUUAAUAGGGACAGUUGGGGCCGUUCAUGUUUCGUUGUCAGAGGUGAAAUUCUUGGAUUUACGAACGAUGAACUUGUGCGAAAGCAUUCGGCAAGGAUGUUUUCAUUGAUCAAGAACGAAAGUUAGGGGAUCGAAGACGAUCAGAUACCGUCGUAGUCUUAACCAUAAACUAUGCCAACUAGGGAUCAUUGAGUGUCAAUUUACGACCUCAUUGGCACCUUGUGAGAAAUCAAAGUUUUUGGGUUCCGGGGGGAGUAUGGUCGCAAGGCUGAAACUUAAAGGAAUUGACGGAAGGGCACCACCAGGAGUGGAGCCUGCGGCUUAAUUUGACUCAACACGGGGAAACUUACCANGUCCAGACAUAGUCAGGAUGGACAGAUUGAAAGCUCUUUCUUGAUUCUAUGGGUGGUGGUGCAUGGCCGUUCUUAGUUGGUGGAGUGAUUUGUCUGGGUNAUUCCGUUAACGAA
rnacentral:rRNA from 1 species